rnacentral:rRNA from 1 species
UGGGCAACCUGCCUCAUAGAGGGGAAUAGCCUUCCGAAAGGAAGAUUAAUACCGCAUAAGAUUGUAGCUUCGCAUGAAGUAGCAAUUAAAGGAGCAAUCCGCUAUGAGAUGGGCCCGCGGCGCAUUAGCUAGUUGGUGAGGUAACGGCUCACCAAGGCGACGAUGCGUAGCCGACCUGAGAGGGUGAUCGGCCACAUUGGGACUGAGACACGGCCCAGACUCCUACGGGAGGCAGCAUG